UCGAGCGAUCUUCUUCGGAAGAGAGCGGCGGACGGGUGAGUAACGCGUGGGUAACCUGCCCUGUACACACGGAUAACGUACCGAAAGGUAUGCUAAUACGGGAUAACAUAAGAAAGUCGCAUGGAUUUCUUAUCAAAGCUUUUGCGGUACAGGAUGGACCCGCGUCUGAUUAGCUAGUUGGUAAGGUAACGGCUUACCAAGGCGACGAUCAGUAGCCGACCUGAGAGGGUGAUCGGCCACAUUGGAACUGAGACACGGUCCAAACUCCUACGGGAGGCAGCAGUGGGGAAUAUUGCACAAUGGGCGAAAGCCUGAUGCAGCAACGCCGCGUGAGCGAUGAAGGCCUUCGGGUCGUAAAGCUCUGUCCUCAAGGAAGAUAAUGACGGUACUUGAGGAGGAAGCCCCGGCUAACUACGUGCCAGCAGCCGCGGUAAUACGUAGGGGGCUAGCGUUAUCCGGAAUUACUGGGCGUAAAGGGUGCGUAGGCGGUCUUUCAAGUCAGAAGUGAAAGGCUACGGCUCAACCGUAGUAAGCUUUUGAAACUGUAAGACUUGAGUGCAGGAGAGGAGAGUGGAAUUCCUAGUGUAGCGGUGAAAUGCGUAGAUAUUAGGAGGAACACCAGUUGCGAAGGCGGCUCUCUGGACUGUAACUGACGCUGAGGC
rnacentral:rRNA from 1 species